rnacentral:rRNA from 1 species
AUACAGAGGGUGCGAGCGUUAAUCGGAAUUACUGGGCGUAAAGCGCGCGUAGGCGGCUUGGUCAGUCAGAUGUGAAAGCCCCGGGCUCAACCUGGGAAUGGCAUUCGAUACUGCCAGGCUAGAGGAUGGGAGAGGGAAGUGGAAUUUCCGGUGUAGCGGUGAAAUGCGUAGAUAUCGGAAGGAACACCAGUGGCGAAGGCGACUUCCUGGCCCAAUACUGACGCUGAGGUGCGAAAGCGUGGGGAGCGAACAGGAUUAGAUACCCUUGUAGUCC